rnacentral:rRNA from 1 species
CUCAUGGUUUCACGGUAUUGCAAUGAGAACAAUUUAAAACCCUUAGCGAGAAUCAAGUGGAGGACAAGUCUGGUGCCAGCACCCGCGGUAAUUCCAGCUCCACUAGCGUAUAUUAAAGUUGUUGCAGUUUAAAAGCUCGUAGUUGAACCUCUGUCUGGGGCUAGUUUUGGCUUUGGUCAGGCUAGUUCUAGGCAUCCGCCUACAAGACUUAGAGGGCAUUCAGUUGUUCACUAGGAGGAGUUGGCAUUUUACUUUGAAAAAAUUAGAGUGUUUAAGGCAGGCAAUCGCCCGCAUAUAUUAGCAUGGAAUAAUAGAAUAGGACACUUUUCCAUUUCGUUGGUUAUUGGAAUCGUGUAAUGAUUAAUAGGGACAGUUGUGGGCAUUUGUAUUUAAUUGUCAGAGGUGAAAUUCUUGGAUUUAUUAAAGACAAACUAACGCGAAAGCAUUUGCCAAGGAUGUUUUCAUUAAUCAAGAACGAAAGUUAGGGGAUCAAAGACGAUCAGAUACCGUCCUAGUCUUAACUAUAAACUAUUCCGACUCAAUGUUUGACUGGCUUAUAUAACCAGUUGAGCGUUGUAUGAGAAAUCAAAGUCUUUAGGUUCUGGGGGGAGUAUGGUUGCAAAGCUGAAACUUAAAGGAAUUGACGGAAGAGCACAACCAGGAGUGGAUUCUGCGGCUUAAUUUGACUCAACACGGGGAAACUUACCAGGUUAAAACAAUAGUGGGAUUGACAGUUUGAGAGCGCUUUCUUGAUUGGUUGGGUGGUGGUGCAUGGCCGUUCUUAGUUGGUGGAGUGAUUUGUCUGCUUAAUUGCGUUAACGAACGAGACCUUAACCUGCUUACUAGACUGGCGAUCAUCAAUCGUUAGCUCUUCUUAGAGGGACUUUGGUUGUUUUAACUCCAAGGAAGUUUGAGGCAAUAACAGGUCUGUGAUGCCCUUAGAUAUCCUGGGCCGCACGCGUCAUACAAUGACUAGUUCAGAAAGUUUUCUCCUGACCCGAAAGGGGAUGGGUAAUCUUGAUAAUACUAGUCGUGUUAGGGAUCGAUCUUUGCAAUUAUAGAUCUUGAACGAGGAAUUCCUAGUAAGUGCGGUUCAUCAGACCGUACUGAUUACGUCCCUGCUCUUUGUACACACCGCCCGUCGCUUCUACCGAGUGGGUGGUCCGGUGAGAUAAUUGAACUUCGCAGGUAACUGAGAGGAAAGAUUAUCAAACCUAUCCACCU